UUUUCAGUGUUUUGGUAGAUGUCGUAAUUUCAUGUUUUCAUCAUGAAUUUCUAAUCUAAAUCCUGCUAUUAGGAAAUUUAUUUUUUAACCAUCCUCUCUGCCUAUUUCUUUUCAAAUUUCUUUUAUCAUAAUCCAAUGCAGCGGUUACUGGUUGGUUAGUUUAGCAGGAGGCAAUGAGCUUGUCCAUGAAUAUUUUUUUAUGCUUGCUCUAAAGAAGCUAUUGCGGCAGGCUUAUGUGUAGCACUAACAUUUUUUGUAUUCUCAGGUCAGAGCUGAGAGGCAAGUUCUUGUCAAAGAUUACAACAGGGGAUGGGCUGUUGCAUUUGAUCGAAGAAUACAUAAUGUGUUGGAGGUUUUCACCUUAGAUGGAUUUAAAAUGUCAGAGCUGAGAGGCAAGUUCUUGUCGAAGAUUACAACAGGGGAAGGGCUGUUGCGUUUGAUUAAAGAAUACAGAACGUGUUGGAGGUUUUCACCUUAGAUGGAUUUAAAAUGAUGCUAAAAUGUUGAUCAAGGAGGAGGCAAUGCUAGAAAAAUUUAAAGAGAGGAUCAAUGCAGCAGAAGAAAAGCUAUUGCGUGGAAACUUGAAUUCAGAAAUUAAAGUUUCUGUUUCAGAAUGGGGUCCACCAUGAAAAUGUUAUGAAAGAAAAGAGCUACAGAAAGGCUUCUAUCAUUUGUCAUGAGAGUGAAAUUGACGAUUAGAAAACUUGGAUGGAAGUACAACCGAUAAACCAGAUGCCAAACUGAAGAGACUGAAUCAGAGACUUAUGCAUGA